rnacentral:misc_RNA from 1 species
GAUGAAGAACGUAGCGAAAUGCGAUAAGUAGUGUGAAUUGCAGAAUUCAGUGAAUCAUCGAAUCUUUGAACGCACAUUGCGCCCCUUGGUAUUCCGAGGGGCAUGCCUGUUCGAGCGUCAUUAUAACCCUCAAGCUCAGCUUGGUGUUGGGGCCUGCUGCACUGGCAGCCCUUAAAAUCAGUGGCGGCGCCAUCUGGCUCUAAGCGUAGUAAUUCUUCUCGCUAUGGAGUCCUGGUGGACGCUUGCCAUCAACCCCCAAUUUUUCUAUGGUUGACCUCGGAUCAGGUAGGGAUACCCGCUGAACUUAAGCAUAUCAAAAGCGGAGGA